rnacentral:rRNA from 1 species
UACGUAGGGGGCAAGCGUUGUCCGGAAUUAUUGGGCGUAAAGAGCGCGUAGGCGGUCCGAUAAGUCGGCUGUGAAAGUCAGGGGCUCAACCCUUGAAAGCCGGCCGAUACUGUCGGACUAGAGUCCGGAAGAGGCGAGUGGAAUUCCCGGUGUAGCGGUGAAAUGCGCAGAUAUCUGGAGGAACACCGGUGGCGAAGGCGGCAUCCUGGACCAACACUGACACUGAGGAGCGAAAGCCAGGGGAGCAAACGGG